CAAUAGCGUAUAUUAAAGUUGUUGCAGUUAAAAGCUCGUAGUUGGAUUUCUGGUCUGAUGCCCUGGCCCGCGGCAAUUUAGUCGUGUGUGCCGGCUGUGCGUCUGCCAUCCUUCUAGACGACCCUUCCUACCCUUCACUGGGCCGGGAAGGCGAUCUAGAUCUUUUACUUUGAAAAAUUAGAGUGUUUAAAGCAGGCUUUUGCUAUGAAUACAUUAGCAUGGAAUAAUAAUCUAGGACUUCGGUUCUAUUUUGUUGGUUUCUAGUACUGAAGUAAUGAUUGAUAGGGAUAGUUGGGGGUGGCUAGUAUUGAGCGGCCAGAGGUGAAAUUCGUUG
rnacentral:rRNA from 1 species